GUGACCUCAAAUCAGGUAGGAUUACCCGCUGAACUUAAGCAUAUCAAUAAGCGGAGGAAAAGAAACUAACAAGGAUUCCCCUAGUAACUGCGAGUGAAGCGGGAAAAGCUCAAAUUUAAAAUCUGGCAGUCUUUGGCUGUCCGAGUUGUAAUCUAGAGAAGUGCUAUCCGCG
rnacentral:rRNA from 1 species